UAUGGCCAUAUCAUGUUGAAACUCUGGUCCUUGUCUGGUCACUGAAGUUAAGCAAUGUUGAGCCUGGUCAGUACCUAGUUGGGUGACCACUUUGGAAUAUCUUGUACUGUAAG